GCAGCAGCCACGGUAAUACGUAGGGCGCAAGCGUUGUCCGGAAUUAUUGGGCGUAAAGAGCUCGUAGGCGGUCUGUCGCGUCUGGUGUGAAAUCCCGAGGCUCAACCUCGGGCUUGCAUCGGGUACGGGCAGACUAGAGUGCGGUAGGGGAGACUGGAAUUCCUGGUGUAGCGGUGGAAUGCGCAGAUAUCAGGAGGAACACCGAUGGCGAAGGCAGGUCUCUGGGCCGCAACUGACGCUGAGGAGCGAAAGCAUGGGGAGCGAACAGGAUUAGAUACCCCUGUAGUCCCUGUCUCUUAUAA
rnacentral:rRNA from 1 species